rnacentral:rRNA from 1 species
UGGGGAAUAUUGGACAAUGGGCGAAAGCCUGAUCCAGCCAUGCCGCGUGAGUGAUGAAGGCCCUAGGGUUGUAAAGCUCUUUUGUGCGGGAAGAUAAUGACGGUACCGCAAGAAUAAGCCCCGGCUAACUUCGUGCCAGCAGCCGCGGUAAUGCGAAGGGGGCUAGCGUUGCUCGGAAUCACUGGGCGUAAAGGGUGCGUAGGCGGGUUUCUAAGUCAGAGGUGAAAGCCUGGAGCUCAACUCCAGAACUGCCUUUGAUACUGGAAGUCUUGAGUUCGGGAGAGGUGAGUGGAACUGCGAGUGUAGAGGUGAAAUUCGUAGAUAUUCGCAAGAACACCAGUGGCGAAGGCGGCUCACUGGCCCGAUACUGACGCUGAGGCACGAAAGCGUGGGGAGCAAACA